AAGUGCGUUUUUAUCAUAUGAUCUGUUUUAAAAGGAUGUAUCUAAAAAGACACAUGUUUAACACACUUCUUAAAAAGUGCGUCUUUAACAACCGUUUAGCAAAUGUUGUACAGAAAUUGAACAAGAAACAAAAUUGUUGCAGGCUCUAACAAUUUAUUUACAUCAAAUGAUUAAACAUAGACAUAUAUCUCAGUAACCUGUAAUAAUAUAAGGGGCAGUUUGAAUAAUUACUGGUUGUCCAUAUUAACCUGUUUAAUGUUUACAUACUUUAUCAUACAAUUUCAAUGCAUACCCUAUUGCUUACGUUUUAAUCUCAAACAUUUCUAAAAAAUUCCACCUAAAUCAGACUGUGUGUAACUAAUUAAAAAUAUUGAAAGUGUCAAAAGUAUUAUGUGGGCUUGAUAGUAUCAAUUAUAUUUCCUCAACAUAAAUAAGUAUUUGAACUUUCUUAUACUGAUAUUUAUACCCUAAUACAAUUAAUGUCUACCACAUUGACCAUAAACAUACAUUUUAAAAGGCAAUUAAAAUAAUAUUUAUACUAUUAAUAUUAUUUGCUAAAACCAUUCAGCAUGUUAUAUUUAAAUAUUUACAAUUAAAUAUAAUGUGUUAAGGGUGCUGUGUAUUAUUCAAUAAAUAUUUUGGUGUUGAAAUGACUGCCUUAUCAGUAUUUCUCAAAUUAUGCAAUUUUUGGCUUAGACACAGCAUGGUAUCAGAUAAGAGAAUAGCCAGUCCCUAUCAGUCCUCCAUCUAAGCCUAACUAAGGGGUGUUGAUAUACUUUUGAUUUGUUCAGGCACCAUUUAUUUGAGAACCACAGAUAGGAAGUUAUUUUUUUAAAACAAGCAGCAUCAGCAACUGACUUUAAGCUAGAAUUAAGACUUAUUAUUUUAGUGUAAAAUGUCUUGAAAUACUUUCAGCAUGAAGUAUUGUGUGAUGAAAAAAAUGUGAAUUUACUACAAUGUGUAAAUCAACAAUAAAGGAGAUUAAAAGUGGGUGGUUAAAGACAUAUAAAGUGAUAUGGUCUAGUUCAACAACUGCCUGUAUUUUUGGAAUACUGAAGAACAGUCUGUUGUAACAGGUUAAACCCCAUGGAAAGAAUGUGCAUCAUCGCAUCGCCUGCCAAAAAAGGGAGCAAAAAAGAGACUACCUGAUGUAUGGACUUGAAUACCAGGUUUUACCCUGCACAAGCUGGCCGACAUGAGGAGAACAGGAGUGGGAAAACCGCACCCUCUUCUUGACCAAGAAAAGCUGGAUUUGUUUAGAGGACCUGAUCAAAUGAGAUCAUGCACGAGACGCAUCGCGCAAAGGCCAUGACAGUAUAAUUGUUGCAAAGAAGUUUGACCGGCUAGUGGCAGACUUGGAGAGAAAGAUGAGAGCUGCACUCCGCUGCCUCAAAGAAAUGCUGAAAGGCCUUGAUUGAUAUGCAUCUUUCUUAUGUAUAUAGCUGUUCCUGUGUAUAUACUGUACAUGUUAUUAUAGUAUGCUAUUAUUUUUUGUUUAUUUAUAUUCAAAUUAUGUUUAUAUUUAUUUCAUCAA